rnacentral:rRNA from 1 species
GAGCAAGAAACGGUAGAUCAUUUGUUCUUUGAUUGUGUGGUUGCCAGGAAAAUAUGGAGUGAUAUAUCAAAAAAUUUCUCUAUUGAUUUAGGGUCAAAUUACCUAUCAAUUGCCAGGUUUUGGCCGGCUAACAAGAAACACACAGCUAUGAAUGCCUUUGUGGCUUGUGUCUUAUGGAACAUAUGGAAAACUAGAAAUAAUCAUGUGUUCAAUAAUGCUGUCUGGUCUGACUUGAAACAGAUAUGGUGGCAAGUCUGGAGGAUGCUCAAAAGAUGGAUGAUCCUGUACAAAGGGGAAACGCUGGAGAAGCUUCAGCAAAUCUCGCUCUGGAUAUCCAGCAUCCUCGUAGCGCCCUUUCAGUUGACAGAGGGGUGA